UGAACAGAACUCGCAUUAUUGUGUUUUAAUGGAUGUUCAGGAAAGCCUGCUUGUGUUAACUUGCUUGUAUUAUUUCACAAAACCUUACACAUUUUAUAAACAAAACCCCAUAAAGGGAUAUUUUAACCUAUCUAUUUGUCAUUGGGACUGCUUUCCAAUAGUUUUAAAUGCUUUUGGACUCUCAGGACGUGAUUUUGUUUGUUUUUCUCAAUUGAAUGAAGCUCUCUGUAAUGCCAGCCCACAAUACAAUUACAAUUUUAUUGAAAACGAUAAAUAUCAUACACUAGUAGUUGGUGUGUUUAGAUGUACUAUACAUGACCGAGAAUGAGAGAGUUUCUUUAAGAUUUUGUAGUGUAGAGAUUUACAAUUAUCACCUCACACAUUGCAGCAAAUUUGUUUAAACAAUCAUUAACGUACGUUACAGAAAGCCUCCAUUCGGUUAUGACAGAUGUUAGUGCUGCCAUCUUGUGGCUAGAUUAUACAAUGCAGUCCUUGAAUUGAAUGAAUAUGAAUUGUGUAAAUAAUUUAAAUUUUAAACAUACUUGUAUUUCAGCUACAUUAACUCAGCCAGUAAUGUUUAUAUCCAUGUGUCUUCAUGUGUGUUUAGACUGAUAUGGUACGCUGUGAACACUGCUGUUGGGACACCUGAUUACAUUUCUCCAGAGGUUUUAAUGUCUCAAGGAGGGACUGGUUAUUACGGUUGUGAGUGUGACUGGUGGUCUGUUGGUGUUUUCAUUUAUGAGCUUCUAGUGGGCGACACUCCAUUUCAUUCCGAGUCUCUGGUGGGCACAUAUGGAAAGAUCAUGGAUCACAAGAACAUCUUAACUUUCCCAGAUGAUAUUGAAAUGUCAAAGGAUGGCAAAGACCUCAUCUGUGCCUUUCUGAGUAGCAAGGAGGUGAGGCUUGGCCGGACUGGAGUGGAUGAAAUAAAAUGUCACCCCUUCUUCAAGAACGAUCAGUGGACCUUCGACACCAUAUGAGACAAUAUGGCAGACACGGCCAAACAUCGAAACUUUGGAGGACGUCUAGGAAAAAAAGCACCAUAUCAUCAAGGGGAAUAAAAGCAAAAAAAUGCCAAAAACAGACACCCAAAACCCUACGCAUGCUGCGCGACACAGGGGCGUGAACCUGCAGGACCCAGACGCACAGUCCACCUGAAGCUGCUGUGGGAACUAAAGGCCUGUCAACACUCCAUCAUGGAAGACCACGACACCUUCUCCUCCCUAAAAUCCCACCCUUCACCCUUUCACCUCCCAAGACGGAUAAGGAAAGAGAAAGAAAGAGAAAGGAAUACCAGGAAGAGCUCGAGGAAAACGCCUCACUCGUGCCACAAAGAGAUUUUUCAAGGAAGACUUCUGGUGGAUGGGGCUGAAAGCGAACGGACGAUGGACUCUGUCAUGUCUGGCAGUAAAUAUGGAUUCUGUAUUACUUUCAAGUCAACAAGAAUUUCCACCUCAGUUCAUCCUCAUUAUGCAAGCACCAUGUAGAGAUAAAGGAUUGGAAAAGAGAUAAAGGAACACAGAAUGGACUCAAGAGUUAUUAUUAACCAACAAACCUUCCCAUUCUCAGCCCCUGGAAGGGUCCGUAAUGCCCCUUUUAACAUUCAGAAGUCUUCAAGCGAAAUCUACACUGAGUAUCCAUAUGGUCUGGGCUCUCCCAUUUAAUCUCAACUCUAACACUGGAAGAAAGUCAGCACCUUAAACUUAAACUAACCCUUCAGUUAUUCAUCUAUGAGCCACAUCUACUAAAUUUCUAACACAAAGGAACACCGAAGCAGAACUUCAUAUGUUUUAUUUCAGCUUUGUUUAUUACCUUUGUUUGAACUGGUCUCCCUUUGCGCAGCUCGUCAUUCAUCUAUGACCCAAAAAGUAUUGAAGAAAGUCAAUGUUGUCUUCCCUAUCCCAUUUACUUCUCCCCACAGCAUUGACCUCAAAGUUCAGUGUUGAUGUUCACAAAACAACAGCGAGCUCUACGAUGCCUUCUUAAUCUUCUUUUAGCUUUGUGUAAACUACUGUUUGAGAGUCAACAAAUUAUUACAUAUAUUUGCACCAAUCAGACGGAUCCAAAAUCAUUUUGCUUCAUGAUUAAUUGCAAAAUAUCAUUACACAUUUAGUUGUCUGGAUGCGGAAGUCACACAACACCAGUCUCAAUAUGUGUUAUUAAAAAGCAACAAAAAAUAUUCAAGCACCCACUAAUCAACAAAGUGAAUGAUUGAGCACUGGGAUGGCAAAUAUUGUGGAGAUGCAGAUUUUUGCCCACAAAGCCCCUGAAAAAGUGGAAAAAAACAGAAGUGCCUACUCCGUUUUUUCCGUGUUCUUUGUUUUGGGCUUGAUUGAGGUCGGCUGACCAUCUUAAAAGUAGCGGUUUUGAGACGAUCCCGAGGUAUACGGGCAAUAAGCUGUGAGAAUAACUUGCGGAGCGUGCUAGUAAACAGAGGAGUCGUUUCAGUUUUGUUUUAUGAAUGCUGUUUGUUGAUGUGUAUUAAAAAGAAUUUUAUUUCAGAUUGAUUUUAGUCAGUAAUUUAAUGGGUUACCAAUACAUUUAUAUGGUCAUUUAGGGAAUGAAUUAGGUAUCAUGAUAAGGUGUCACACAGCUAGAAGUCAUUUGUCAUGUGUCUUCAGGUCCACCUUUUUUGUGGAAUAAGAUCUGAUCUCGUUAACACCUCUGUCAAUUUUAAAUAAAGCUGUGCUGUUCUGCUAUGAAUGAAACGUG